UACAGAGGGUGCAAGCGUUGUUCGGAAUUAUUGGGCGUAAAGGGCGCGUAGGCGGUGCGGUAAGUCCGUUGUGAAAUCUCUGGGCUCAACUCAGAGUCUGCAACGGAAACUGCCGUGCUUGAGUAUGGGAGAGGUGAGUGGAAUUCCCGGUGUAGCGGUGAAAUGCGUAGAUAUUGGGAGGAACACCAGUGGCGAAGGCGGCUCACUGGACCGGAACUGACGCUGAGGCGCGAAAGCGUGGGGAGCAAACAGG
rnacentral:rRNA from 1 species